GGGGGCUUAGCUCAGUGGUAGAGCAUCCGCUUUGCAAGCGGAGGGUCUGGGGUUCGAAUCCCCAAGCCUCCA
rnacentral:tRNA from 1 species